UUUCUUGGGAGACAACAGUUUCAAACAGGGGAAAAGGGCGUGGUCCAAAAGGGCGUUAUCCUUGACACACCUUUUGUUCCCCCCACUUCCCAGGCUGGAGCCGCCGCCCCUGUUGGGAAGCACUUAAUUUGAGUUCGACUUAUAGAAAUUGGUCCCUCUAUCUUGAAAUUCGUGGGGGGGGGACUUUCUAGAUAAAAUGCUGCGUCAUUAUGAGUCGUUUGAAAAUGUAUUAAUUGUUUAUGAACGGCUGAGGGAUUUUCAUUUAAUUUUUAAUAGCCUUAUAAUCAAAUUAAGAAUCGAGCAAUCUUGCAUUACCCCCUGGAAUACUGUAGCUUUGAUUAACAGCGAAAGGAAGAUAAUAGUUUCCAGGGGGAUACUCUACAUUACUUUGCCUCCUUAACUGCGAUUUAACAAGAGACCUGCAUUCGAUUUCUCCUCAAAUUUUAUUUGACUUUUCUUUGAUUAAAGUCGGGUAAGAGAAUUUUGAAAGUCAAACUGUUUCGAAGAAUUUUUUCGAGAAUAAUGACUGGUUCCGUUAAAGUCCAGAUUGAAUACUGUGGUGGAUGAGGGUACGCCCCACGAUAUGGGGACUUGGCUUCUCAAAUCAAGAGAGCUGUCCCUGAUGCAGAUGUGAAAGGGAUUGUUGGCAAAAGAAGUUCUUUUGAAGUUACAGUCAAUGGACAAGUAAUUUUUUCAAAAUUAAAGGUUGGAAACUUUCCCGAUUUUCAAGAGGUUGUCGAGAUUGUUACAAAGGCCUCUGAAAGUGGCGAGGUAGAGCAGGCUACAAAAUUUGAGGAGAGUUCUUGUACAAUACUUUAAAUAGAUUUUAAUAUUUCAAAUUUAGGUUGUUUUGUAUUUGUAUUUGUAGCUGUUAUGAAAAUUCAGCCAGAACUUAAUUGGCUGAGUUCGAUGCCUUCAACUAUGAAUUCAAAUAUUUGUUUAAUAAUACCUAUAAAUUUGUUGUAUAAAUGAAUGUUUAUAUAAUGUUUUCUGACAAAUGAAAUGUUCUAUUUCCUGUUUCUAUGUUGCACCUGAGAUAUUCUCAGGCCAAUCGCUGCUAAGGAAGUUUACUCAAGCUGUUGAAGUGUCGUUAGGGGUGGUAAAGGGGACUUGGUCCGAAUCAUAGGAAAAAGGUUGAAUAUCAUGUCUCAAGUUGAAGAAUCAUUGCUAACAAUGGGCCUUUGCGAGCGUGGCGACGAUCCAAACAAUGGCAGUAAACUUCUACGGAUUAACCAAAAUUGAUUUCAGACUGUCUGAAAAUGCAUUAUGGGAUGCUUACGUAGCGCAAUGGCUCAUUGUUAGCAAUGAGUCUUUAAAGACUUUUUCCCCAGCCCUGUUGAGAGUCAUCUUCGUUAUGCUGAAGAAGCCUGGGGGAGUUUAUCGAACACUUAGAUAACCCCCUAUCAGAGACUGCUAAAUGGUACAUUUGAGAUUAUUGAAGCAUAAAAAAUAAAAGACUUUAUUUCGACCAAAAAAUAGCUUCGAUCAGAUGUUCCAAUUUGGACCAGUCGUUUCUAAUGUUUAAAAUAAUUAACAAGAUAUGUCCCGAGAGUCUGCACGAUAAAUUUACCAAACGAUUAUCGAUAAACAAGUACUAUACGAGCAACAAGACAGAUCUCCAAACCUGAAGAUUAAAUUUAGACUACAGUAAACAGAGUUUCAAUUUCACUGGUCCGAAAACCUGAAAUGCUUUUCCAAAGCACAUUGGUGAGUCUGACACACCCACCCUGUGUAAAAAUGUCCUAAGAAAUCAUUUUGUAAGCUGAGGAAGAAAGAGGAAUCUUUUUGCACAUGAAUCCGUUAAAGAACAGUAUUGUUUUUAUAAUUUUUAAUUUGUCUCUAUUUUCUUAUAUAUGUUUUCAACCCUUAUUUAUAAUUAGAAUUGAUAUUUUAGUUUUGUAAUUAGGAAUUAGGAUUAAUACUAAAUGAAUAUCGUGGAUAAAAGAAAUAUGAAAUUUUACGAAAAUCCCUUGCCAGACUCUUUAUUUCAACAAUAUUUUGAGGAAGUUCACUGUCAAGGAGAUUUUAUGUAAAAAAUGUUUAGGAAUUAAUGGUAAAUGAAAGGUAAUAAAAAGGUAGUAUAAAAAAUAAUGGAACAAAGGAUUUUUCACAACAAAUUUUUUCCUUUUUUCUAAUUCAAGAGAUUCUUUGGAUACUUUUAUUUCAAACAAGUAACUUUUCAUCUAUCACAGUUUCAUUUCAUUCAGAAAUGGAUGUGAUUAUUAAAACUAUGAUUAUUUCAUAAAAGCGAUUCAUUGCCUUCGUUGAUGCAACAGAGUAAAAGCGGAUGUCACAGCUAACGUGUCCCCAUAGCUAUGGCCUUGGGGCAUAUGCCUCCGGUUCCUGACCCAAUGCUUGUCUCAAGUUUUCGAAAUGGGCUUAUUUCGCAAAAGAUAUUUAAUGGUGGGGGCUCUCCAGAGGGGUGGGCUUAUUCGAAGUUGGGGGCUUGGCAGCAGCCAAAAACAUUACGAGGGUAAAUUUCUUCCUCUUGUUGAGACUUGUCAGUACUGUAUGUUGAAAAAUCCUGGGAUGAAUUUAUUGCUAUCAGGGCAGUACUACAGCCCAUUAGGGCUUGUUGGGGCGUUGGGGUUAUUUCUCAAAGAUUAUUUUAGGGUGAGGGCUUGUUUGAAGUGGGGGGGGGACUUUUUCAAAUUUGGGGGCUUCGAGUAUUUAUGGUAUUAAGCAAUGUCAGAUUUUCAAAAAGACUUUUACCAUAACGUCAGGGCCAAUAAAUGAUUGGUUAUAAACAUAGAACCCUUGAAGGAACCAACUGGACCUCGCAUUAUUCGUCUCAUGUUAUUUUAGACCCACACCUGGGUAUAAAAACCAUCUUAACUUAGUUAUUGUCGGACAUUAAGAAUCCUAGGAGCUCCUUCUUUAAAUUUCUUUAAAUUUAAUGUUCCGUUUUUGUGCUAUUUUCAAUUAUAUAAUAUCAAUCUACAAUCUUUAGUUCCGAAAAGAAUAAGCCCAUCACAAAGACACACAUCACUUCUUAUUUUUGUAUAAUUUUGUUGUUUCAAAUUUAGAAUAAUAAAAAAGUCCAAAGUAAUAAAAAAAGUCAAAGAGGUAAUAUAUGCAAAAUAAAGUAGUUAGGAUAACAAGUUCGAAAAUACGCAAGGAUGAUGAUUGAAUGAACCCAAAGUUGCAAAAAAACACAACUUUAUCGGGCACUAAAUACUUUUACGUUGACAAAACUGAGCUCUCUGUGUUUGGGGGGGGGGCAAAUCGUACACAAUUCAAUUCUCCGUGUUGGUUGCAUGGGUAAGGAUAAUUGGCAAAAAUUUUUAGUGUCAUUACCAGCAAAUUUUGGCAAGCACUUCAGCUUGAAAUUUUCCUUUAUGUAUGGUGCACAAUGGGAUAUUAUCCCCUUUUGCUGCCUAGCCCCCUUUUCACCCUAACCACGUUAGAAUUUUUCGACCCAUCUCCUCCUGCAGUUCUGGUCGCUGCGAUUCCCCAAGAGGAAACAAAUCACCCACAAUGCUGUGCGCCAAGAAGAACAUUCAAAUGCCAAGAUGGCGAAAAAAUCGAAGCCUUCGGCAAAGAGAAGCGUUUUUUGGGAAGAAACAAAGCUGUAGCAAGUUAAAGAUGAAAGAAUGUGGCUUGAAAUUCAAUGAAAAAAGACAAGUGAUAUGAUGGAAGCAAAGACAACGGCUUCAAGAAGCAUCUUGCUUGGCCAUGAUGCCUGCCUGAUUCAAUGCUAGCUGUUGUAUUGAUGCAAUGAAAGGACAAUGACAGUAGUUAGUGAAUAAAAAGUCACAUCAAAGAAUGAUUCCCAAAACAGAUCAGUUGAUGAAUCACAAAUCAUAACAGGAAUCACAAAUCAUUUGAUGAUGAAUCACAAAUCAGAACAGUUGAUGAAUGACAUAAGCUUGGCCAUGAUGCCUGCCUGAUUCAAUGCUAGCUGUUGUAUUGAUGCAAUGAAAGGACAAUGACAGUAGUUAGUGAAUAAAAAGUCACAUCAAAGAAUGAUUCCCAAAACAGAUCAGUUGAUGAAUCACAAAUCAUAACAGGAAUCACAAAUCAUUUGAUGAUGAAUCACAAAUCAGAACAGUUGAUGAAUGACAUAAGGUAUGCAAUCUUCAUAUCACUGAUUUAUGUUAAGCUUAAAAUGAUGAACUCAAAGGAUCUCCGUUGGAUCAAAAUAUUGUAUAUUCUUGACACAUUCCAAACAACACGUCCACAAAGAGUUUUUCUAAAAAUAAGACUGACAGUUUUUCUAGGCUAAUGGAAAUAUCGUAGUCAUAAAAAUCAUUUUUUGUGAAAGCAACUAUUCAGCCAAUUUUUUCCUGAAGUUUGGAGUCUUUGUUGCUAGACUAAGUGUGUUCAUAUAGAUUGCAGUAGUAAGCACGAUUGUUAAAACUGCUAAUGAAUUGAUUGCACAAGUCCAGUUGAUCUUCAAUUUGAUUGGUUAAGACCACGCUACUUGUAAGUUGAUUAAGACCACGCUUCAAAUCCGAUUCACGAAUGAUGUUUUGGGAAGCGUCUGAUCUAUUUUCGAAUAAAUCUUGGCCUACUUGGCACACAUUUACCAUUUUUACCCAUUAUCAGUCAUUCUAUAGAAGUUUCCUAUUGUGUUUGGGUUGAUGGACUACAUCUCUCUCUCUCUCUCUCUCUCUCUCUCUCUCUCUCUCUCUC